UCGACGCGGCUAAAUUUUUGCAGACUUACGGAAACUCUCAAAAAUUCCGUUGCGUCGUG
rnacentral:pre_miRNA from 1 species